UGUUGAUUACCACCGGUGCUCGUGAAGCUGCUUUCAGAAACAUCAAGAUAUUGUUGAGUGCCUUGCUUAUGAAUUGAUCAACGCAGCCAAGGGCUCUUCCAACAGCUAUGCCAUCAAGAAGAAGGAUGAGAUUGAAAGAGUUGCAAAGGCCAAUCGUUAAGGAUAUUCCUUUUGCCCUGAGAGUUACAAUCUUAUCAAUGAGUUCAAUGUUUUAUUUUCAUUUAGAUUGAAAUAUGUAUCUCAGAUGUUUGCUCUUCUGUGUUGUGAAGUUUAUUUCGUCUGAACUACUUUGAAUAGAUAAAUUUGUGAUGCUUUAAGCUAUUUUGCAUCAGUUUAUUGUCAGUUUUUAAACU